rnacentral:rRNA from 1 species
ACUCCUACGGGAGGCAGCAGUAGGGAAUCUUGCGCAAUGGGCGAAAGCCUGACGCAGCGACGCCGCGUGCGGGACGAAGGCCCUCGGGUUGUAAACCGCUUUCAGCAGGGACGAAGCGAAAGUGACGGUACCUGCAGAAGAAGGUCCGGCCAACUACGUGCCAGCAGCCGCGGUAAUACGUAGGGACCGAGCGUUGUCCGGAUUCAUUGGGCGUAAAGAGCUCGUAGGCGGCUGCUCAAGUCGAAUGUGAAAACUCGAGGCUCAACCUCGAGCCUGCAUUCGAUACUGGGCGGCUAGAGUCUGGUAGGGGGAUCUGGAAUUCCUGGUGUAGCGGUGGAAUGCGCAGAUAUCAGGAAGAACACCCAUGGCGAAAGCAGCUCUCUGGGACGGUACUGACGCUGAGACGCGAAAGCGUGGGGAGCGAACAGGAUUAGAUACCCUGGUAG